rnacentral:lncRNA from 1 species
UUUCUGUGCUCGCCCGCGGCGCGGAGCAUGGCGUCCCCGAGAGCUGGAGCAUGGGAGGCGGUUGUGGCGUGGGAUCUAGGGUGUCUGCAGCGGACUCGGCGGCCCUGUGAGGCGCUCGGCCCGCCGGACCCCGCGUGAAGCUGGUCGCUGUGGAAGCCGAGCGCCGUUUGGGAUGUAGAUCUCCGCCAUAAGCCCAGGCACAGAACUGGGCGGGAAUAAAGCGAAGACCCAGGUCACACGGUGGGUACCUGAAGCUGACGGAUAUUUCCUGAACGACACACGGGAGCACAGAGUGGUUUAAGGAUGUCCUUGAUUUGGAAAUUUGAUCUACAGAAGCACGAGUGAUUUAAAUUUUCUAGGGGCCGUGUCAAAACUCCAUAGAUGAAUGCUCAUUUGUAACAAGGCUAUGAAUAAAUGCUUUGAUGUGCUGUUC